CCUACGGGCGGCAGCAGUGGGGAAUAUUGGGCAAUGGGCGCAAGCCUGACCCAGCAACGCCGCGUGAAGGAAGAAGGCUUUCGGGUUGUAAACUUCUUUUGUCAGGGACGAAGCAAGUGACGGUACCUGACGAAUAAGCCACGGCUAACUACGUGCCAGCAGCCGCGGUAAUACGUAGGUGGCAAGCGUUAUCCGGAUUUACUGGGGGUAAAGGGCGUGUAGGCGGGACGGCAAGUCAGAUGUGAAAACCACGGGCUCAACCUGUGGACUGCAUUUGAAACUGUAGGUCUUGAGUACUGGAGAGGCAGACAGAAUUCCUAGUGUAGCGGUGAAAUGCGUAGAUAUUAGGAGGAACACCAGUGGCGAAGGCGGUCUGCUGGACAGCAACUGACGCUGAGGCGCGAAAGCGUGGGGAGCAAACAGGAUUAGAUACCCUAGUAGUC
rnacentral:rRNA from 1 species